GAUGAACGCUGGCGGCGUGCCUAAUACAUGCAAGUCGAGCGAACAGACGAGGAGCUUGCUCCUCUGACGUUAGCGGCGGACGGGUGAGUAACACGUGGAUAACCUACCUAUAAGACUGGGAUAACUUCGGGAAACCGGAGCUAAUACCGGAUAAUAUAUUGAACCGCAUGGUUCAAUAGUGAAAGACGGUUUUGCUGUCACUUAUAGAUGGAUCCGCGCCGCAUUAGCUAGUUGGUAAGGUAACGGCUUACCAAGGCGACGAUGCGUAGCCGACCUGAGAGGGUGAUCGGCCACACUGGCACUGAGAUACGGGCCAGACUCCUACGGGAGGCAGCAGUAGGGAAUAUUGGACAAUGGUUGCAAGACUGAUCCAGCCAGGCCGCGUGCAGGAAGAAGGCCUUCUGGGUCGUAAACUGCUUUUUCCUGUGGAUAAAAUACCCGUGCGCGGGGAAUUGAAGGUAACAGGGGAAUAAGCCACGGCUAACUACGUG
rnacentral:rRNA from 1 species